rnacentral:misc_RNA from 1 species
UAAACUCAGGUGAUUGAAUUUUGUCGUCUGUCGUAACUUUAUUAUGUGAAGUUUGUUUAUAAUUAUCUCUUUUCAUUGUAGCUCUUUAAUUGAUCGUAUCAUCCUGUUUGUACGCAAAAUAUAGUAACCAUCAAAUUUAAGAAUUGUAAUUCGGCAGUUGUUAUUUGAUGUAUCGCAGACAUUUGAAAAUGGUCCUCGUCAAAGACGUGGAAGCUAAUAGAUCAACAAGUGAAUUUGUACAACGAGUUGCUGCUAUUCCAGUAGUGUACUUGGCAUGGAAUAUUGCUACUGAAGCAUACAGGAAUGUUAAAUACUCCAAUAAAUUUUUUAAAGUGUCUCUAGCCACUACAGAAAAAGCUGCUUGCUUCGUUUCAAAACCAGUUUUCAGGAAAUUUGAAAAGCAGUUGAAAGCAGCUGAUCAGCUAGCUUGUAAAGGAUUAGAUACUUUGCAAGGUAUAGUUCCAAGUAUUAUUCAUCAACAAGAGAAGUUAUAUAGGCAGACAAAGGAUAUUUAUGAAGAAACAGUUGAGAGUGGUCUGAAAAAAUAUGAAAUGGUUAAAAAGCUUGGUGCAUCAAAAGCUGCCCAGUUGAUAAAUGAGAGUUCACAGAAAUUUUCCGAAUUUCUUGCAUCCCCUUAUGGGGAAGUUUGUGAAAUAGCAAUGGAUUUUGUUUUUGAUGCAGGGGAAUUAUAUGUUGAUUAUUAUUUACCUCCUCUUGGAGAUGAAAGAUCAGAAUAGAAAUGAUUUUCUCAUGUUAUAUAAUUAUGAGCUGUGAAGGCACUUUCUGCUAAUAAAAAGCUUCCUUGUGGGCAUUGUCUGUAUUAAUUAAAUACUAUUUAUAAGCACUUCUUUACUAUACAAGACCAGAGAAAUUAUUUGGUGACAGGGGAAAAGAACCUGUUUGGAAAAGAGCAGAAUUAUUAAGAAAUCGAUUCAAAGAAAGAUUAUACAAGCAUUCUUUACUCGAAAUACAAAGGUUUCGUCUUAAGACUAAAACUUUCAU